GGGAUUGCCUCAGUAACGGCGAGUGAAGCGGCAACAGCUCAAAUUUGAAAUCUGGCUCCUUCGGGGUCCGAAUUGUAAUUUGUAGAGAGUGCUUCGGGCGAGACCUCGGUCUAAGUCCAUUGGAACAUGGUGUCAUAGAGGGUGAGAAUCCCGUAUGCGACCGUGGCUCGAGCCCAUGUGAAGCCUCUUCGACGAGUCGAGUUGUUUGGGAAUGCAGCUCAAAAUGGGUGGUAAAUUUCAUCUAAAGCUAAAUACUGGCUGGAGACCGAUAGCGCACAAGUAGAGUGAUCGAAAGAUGAAAAGCACUUUGGAAAGAGAGUCAAACAGUACGUGAAAUUGUUGAAAGGGAAGCGCUUGCAACCAGACCUGCCCGUAGGCGAUCAGCCGCUGUUCUCAGCGGUGUACUCGCUCUGCGAUCAGGCCAGCAUCGGUUUCGGCGGUCGGAUAAAGGCCUUGGGAAUGUAGCUUCCCUUCGGGGGAGUCUUAUAGCCCUCGGUGUAAUGCGGCCAGCUGGGACCGAGGACCGCGCUUCGGCUAGGAUGCUGGCGUAAUGGUUGUAAGCGACCCGUCUUGAAACACGGACCAAGGAGUCUAACAUCUAUGCGAGUGUUUGGGUGUCAAACCCAUACGCGGAAUGAAAGUGAACGGAGGUGAGAACCCUUAAGGGCGCAUCAUCGACCGAUCCAGAUGUCUUCGGAUGGAUUUGAGUAUGAGCAUAGCUGUUGGGACCCGAAAGAUGGUGAACUAUGCCUGAAUAGGGUGAAGCCAGAGGAAACUCUGGUGGAGGCUCGCAGCGGUUCUGACGUGCAAAUCGAUCGUCAAAUUUGGGUAUAGGGGCGAAAGACUAAUCGAACC
rnacentral:rRNA from 1 species